rfam:Opisthocomus hoazin contig1733, whole genome shotgun sequence.
AAAAAGGCUCUUUUCAGAGCCACCCACAAAGGUCAGAAAGAGUUG